rnacentral:lncRNA from 1 species
UCCGCGGCUCUAGCCCCGCAGCAUGGUGAAGCCCGGCGGCCGCGCGGAAACCUCCCCCUACUCGGCAGAGAGGGGAGGGGAGGCGAAGCGAGCUCCGCCGGCCCCCGGCCGCCUCCUUUAGCGGCCGCCCGCCGCCCCCAGCCCCGCAGCCGCCCUGGCAGCUCGGUCCGGAGAGGCCGCCAUCUUGGGAGAGCUACGUGCGCCGCCGCCGCUCCCCGCCCGCCCAUUGGGGCCGCGGGCCCCGGGGCCGCCUCUACCGGGGCCGGAUCCAUCCUCUCCCCGCCCAACCGCGGCCAGGCCCUUCGCUACGCCUGGUGCUGCGCUGCCUACCUGGGCCGGGGCGGGCAUGACCGCCUUCAGACUUUUACCAAGGAGUAUUUCCAAAUCCUCCAUUCAGAUGCUACACUUCAUGUUAAAGACAAAUGGCUUUGGAAUACUCAGCUUCAUGAAACUACUUUUUGAAGAGUGUUAAAGGAUACUUAGCGCCUGCAGCCAGCCUGUGUAGCUGCUUAUCACCUGCAGACAGUAGGGCCAGAAGGAAAAGCCUGCUGCGGAAACUUUUAUCUUGCCCUGCUACCCUGUCUUCCACCCUUUGCGGUCCCUCCAGGUUUGUAGAAAUGCUCUGUAAUCAGACAACUAACCAAAAUAUAUCAAGAAAAAAUUGCAAAAGCUUUGCUUUUCAUUUUCAAAGGUGAAGUCACAGAUCAGUCCACCUGAACAAGAUAGUGCUGCACUGGACUGCAUGGCUUACAUGAACCUGAAGUGCAUGAAAUUAUAGGAUAUGUUCCACUUGAUAUUUUGUAACUUUUUUUUUUUUUUCCCCAUUAAUUUGAUACUCCAUCAAAAGGAUUAUAUGGCAUUAUAAAACUUUAUCCUGUCUCAUGAGUCUCACAGGUCUCAUGUACUUUUGUCAAAGUUCUUAAAUUUACUUCUUCUUACUUGACCUUGAUUGAUUAAUUUUGCGAUUGACAAUAAAACCUUGAAAAUGUGAUCUAGUAACCA